UGCCCCAAGCUUUAUAAAACAGCGGGGUCUGCGCCUUCUUUCAAAACGUCUCGGGAGAAAACUACAGUAGGAAGGGACUGACCAAGAAGAAGGCUGAAAAGUCAAUGUAAUUGUUUGCAUCCGUGAACAGCAUUGAAAAUGGCAUCUGUUCCAUCGGCUGGCUGCCUUCUUGCAAGAAAUCAGUUUUACCGAACUCGCUUGAAUUCUACUUCAAGCAAUUCAUCUACAAGCUCUUCCAGUUGCGACUGCUCUGGUGAUCAUGAAAAGGCCCCUGUUUCACAAGGUAUACAAGUUCCAUUUGAGAAGUGCUGGUAGCUGAAGAACUUCUUUGUUUGUGAAGCACAUCAUCAAGGUACUUCAGAACCUCCUACAAGCAGCUCUACCAGUUAAUGCACGCUGAAGACUGUUCCUGCGCACUGCAGGACUAAGGAGUAAUUCUGACUGCUGAAUCACGUCGUGCUUCACUCUGACUGCUGGCUAAUUGUCAAAUUUCUGGGUGGUGCAUAAGGAAAGUGAGAGGCAGGAGAUCUGCAAGGUUCCAAAGACACUUUUAUUUUGGUUGCCAAGUGUCAUAUCAGCAUGUUUCAGGUUGUUAAAACUGAACUUCGUCUGCACGACCCAGAAACUGAAUAUAGCUUUGCUGUUGAUAUGUUGCCAGGUAGUUUGCAAACUGAAACGGUAAUCUGCUUGAUGUCUGUACUUAAAAAUAUGAACCUGACUACAAGUGCUGUUUUAGGUGACCUACUUAAUUCAUACCAAGACUUUGACAUUCACUUUAUACUUGUUGGCCUCAAGUUUAUAGACAAGGUGGGGGCAGUUUGAUUAUGCACUGAACUUUUUAUUUGUAUGCCAUGACCAUAUUAGAUUUGGUUAUAUUUUACUAUAUUAAAUGAUAUUGCAUUGGUAUACCUUGACCUACAUUUUAAAAUAAAAUCUGUGCUAGUUUUUUUUUUUAAUUCUAGAAAUUAAAUCUGCUUGAAUGUCAAAAGUGCACAGUGGAGGUGACUACUAGUAGAUUGUGUUGUAUAUUUUGCCACCUUUUAAAAUAUGAAUAUUAAGGCAUAGAUACACCUGAAUCUGCAUGGUCACUGAAGUAUUUUAGUCACUUCAACCUGGGUUAGGUCUUCAGAAUAGUGCCAAGAUAAUUGGGUAUCAAAUUUGGAAACAGUGAGUUACUGAAAGAUAGUGCUGUGUUAAUCCUUGAUGAACGUAGGAUGUGGGACUCUUGAAACAUUUGCUUUAAGAUGCUCUUUUUUUUAUUAGUAUUUUGACAACAUGCAUUUAUUUUUUUAGAUGAUAGUACAGGUUCUAUUGAAUCAUGUUAAGCAUCCACAUCUACCCAUAUAAUGCCUGUUGCACACCAGAUGUCCUGUUUAAAGAAACCUUUUAUUCCCAGAAAUGGCCCAGAUUUUGUGUAUGAUAUUGGGGAAAGUUGUCACUGAUUUCAUGAAAUGGACAUGUUACUUGACAUUUCCACAAAACAAUUUGCUUAAUUUGGUGUGUGUGUGUAUAUAAAAAUCUUUCUCCUUUUUGCAUUAUGCUGUUCUAAUGUUUAAUAUCCUGGUAUAUUAAGGAUGACUGUAAUGCCCUUAAGUGAAGCAAAUUGC